CAAAAUAUUAAACCUGGACCUGAUCAAGCAUCUGGACUGGCUUAUGGAUAUAGAGAAAAUGUAGGGGAUAGAUGAGCACGGGAAAUGUCUCCGUGGGGCAAAAUUCACGAAAUUCAGAUUGUUGGACACUCUCCAGGACAAAAGGUCUAGAUUCUUCAAAAACAACAACAUCGAAAAAAAAAAACUGCCAGAAAGAAAAAAUACAGAGGGAGAAGGACACAGAACACAUUUAUGAGUCUUUUCACCCUCAUUUCGUUGAAGAUUUUAUUGGCCGAAGAACCCUCAGUAGGCACGAAAUUCAUUCUCACAAGCAGAGAGAUGCAUUAUGCUCCAUUUAUUGCUCAUCCUAAAUUAUAAACAUUUCCAGUGAAUGUAAAGGAAGAUAUGAUUGAAAAGGACUCUGUGAAGACAGGAUGUUUCUGUACAGUCCUUGUAUCUGCUCACCUAUUCCAAACUUUCCAGAGAUUUUACCAGAGGUUUAAGAUAUUCUCCUGAGGGUUUGCUGUAGAGAGAUUUUUCUUAACUAAGGAGUGCAAGUAGCAAGCAAUAGCCCACCCAGUUGGAGACAAAAAAGAAGGGUGUCAGUGUUCCCACUGUUAAAAAACAAAAAAAAAUCACCCUGGACACCUCUGAGAAUUAUACAAGGGGAUGUACACAGCCCUGCUUUAUUUGAGUUCAAAAGGAAGGUGGGUUUUGAAAGAAGAACAAGGAGAGUAGAUCUCUCUGGAUCUUCUGAUGCUCACAGCAAAGAGCUCAAGGUAUCUGAGUCAACUCUUGAGGCUUCUUCGAACAGAGGGAUGAAGAGAGAAUAUGGCAAGCUUGCCAACAGAUCCCAGAAGUUUUAAGAGAAAAGAACAGAUUGCUCUUUGCAAAACAAACCGAGCUGGGUGCAUGGAGCCCCAGUAGACAGAAAGUGAAGAAAACAUCAACGUUCUGAAGUUUUAGAUAGGUGCACCAUCCCUUAUGGAUACCAAUCUGUGCUCCCCAUAAACUUCUGUGCCCAGGGUCAACUGGCCAGGGACAACUGGCUCACCAGGAGGCCUACAUAGCCUCUUCUUCAGGCCCUAAUUACAGCUCUAUGCAAUAGGGACUCUGCCAUCUGACAGCCAAGGAGGUGGUUCGGUUUCUGCACAUGGUUUUUUCCGCUGGGUCCCUUGAGGUCCAUGGUAACCUCUUCCUCAUUCUCUACAGGCAGAUCACACUUUGUAAUAAGAUCAGAGGCAGAGAACUUUGACCAGAUCACACUUUAUAAUAAGAUCAGAGGCAAAGAACUCUGACCAGAUCACACUUUAUAAUAAGAUCAGAGGCAGAGAACUUUGACAACUAUCUCCUUGCCCUCUGGCCCUGGGGUCAGGGCUACUCAAACAACACCUGCUGUCCCAAACCCGGAGAAGUGUAGAUUUUGGCACUGGUAGAGGAAUAACAGCUAUUGUUGACACUUAAUCUUGUGGGCCUGGAAUUUCAACUAUGUUUUCACAACUCGGAGCCUAUUGCUGCCACCUCUGUCAGGGAAGAUAAAUGGGCAUGAAUAAUAGACAGAUGAGUUUCCCAAAAGCCCAGACAGGCUGCAGGGAACACGUAAUGAGCAGACAGUGUGGUUCACGCCGGGGAGCCCAGGUUUAUCCAGGCCUCAUCCUCACUCCCUUUCUCUACUGAUAAUUGGACCCAACAGGACCAUUCCGAAUCAUUUUUCUCUCUUCAGUUAUUCUUCAGUUCUACUCAAAGGAGGAAGAAACAGGCCCAGAGAAGUUGGGUAACUCAUCAAAGGUCACAGAGCUAAGAGUGGCAGAGUCAGGCCUGGAGCCCAGGAAGUCUGGUUUCGAAUUUCAUGCUUCUAACCUGAGCACUGUACUGCUUGGUGGAGUUCUCUGCUAGUCCUACCUUUCAGGCAGAGGAGUUGAAGAGCAAUUCCCUCCAGUUUCCAUUAGAAAUGCUUCUUCUUCCAUAUCAAAUAUUGUGAGAUAGCCUGAAACACCUUUCAACACUUUACUACCCUUCUCCAAAAUUCAACAGAUAUGAUUUCCACGGACUUUACUCACAGGGGCUUCAGUAGAAGAGGAAGAGGCUUGGGUUUAAUUGAAGGUGGCCUGAGACAUCUGUGAGGAACAGCCCUUUUAGAGACAUAUCCCCUACAAAUAAAGCAUCAGAAUUAUUAUCCUAAUACAUGAACAUCCAUGGUUCCUUCAGCACCAUCGUAAUGCAGAGACCAUGGGGAGAUGCAGGGAGAGGGCUCUGCACAGCAUGGCCAACUUGCCGGGUUGAAAACAGACAACCUCCAUGGAGCAGGGACUUCAAUUAGUUAAUUCCCCAUCCCCACUGUCACUUACUAACAUGGGAUUCUGAUUAAAAAUUAGAUUCUCUGCAAGAGGCUUAACUUAUAAUUUAAGAACUUUUGCUGUAUAACCAUUGCAAAAACAAUUACAUAAAGAUUAAUUAGCAAAUUCCCAAAACAGUAGUAAACGGCAAAGUAGUUUAAUUAAAACCAUUAUCUCCAAAAUCUGAACGUUAAUAACAGUUGUAGCUCAGGGAGAAAUAAGAGGCACACUGGCACAGAGUGGGGUAAAGGGAGGGUGUCCUUCGACACCAGCAUUCAGUCAGCCCAAGUCUCCACGGCUGCUGUCCUGUUAAUUACACUCCAGAACUCUGUGGCCACCGCGUCUUGAGAGGCCCUGGGCUCCUCCUAUGAGCCUCUGCAGCUGUAGCCUUGACGAACUUGUCAUUGCUGGCCUGCCUCCAACAAGAGGCCUUUAGCCCUCAGAAGAGAGGGAGGCAGCAGGGGGCACGAACAAGACUUUUAAGUGGGGAAUUCAUAAAAUUUGGAAUUGUCAGAAAACAUCUGUAACCAUGACUCUUGUCCUUCAGAAGACACUGAUAAAUUUAACCCAACCCAGACCCCUUAACACAAACUCUGAAGUAAAAGAUUGGCAAAGGAAGCCCAUGAGAAUGAAAUGUAACAAUAGCAACUAUGUAGUUAGCACACACACCAUAUGAUCUCACACAUUCACAAGAUCCUCAUGAAGCCACAUGGCCUUCAUUCUGUUAUUAUUUACUUAUUUAUUUAUGAGACAGGGUCCCACUCUGUUGCCCCAGUUGGAGUCAGUGGCACAAGGCAGUGUGCAGUGCUCAGUGCAGCCUCUAACUCCUGGCUCAAGUGAUCCUCCUACCCCAGAGUCCUGAGGGGCUGGGACUACAAGCACAUGCCACUAAGCUCAGCUAAUUUUUUUUCUUUUUUAAUUUUUUGUAGAGAUAGGGUCUGACUACAUUGCCCAGGCUGGUCUCAAACUCCUAGCCUCAAAUGAUCUUCCUGCCUCAGCCUCUCAAAGUGCUGGGAUUACAUGCGUGAGCCACUGCAUGCUGCCAUAUUAUUUUUAUUCUUAAGCUAAAGUCACUCACUUAGCCUCGUGCAUGGGGACCCUUCUCUUUUUAACUCUAAAGCCCAUUUGUUUACCUGGAUACCACACAGAUGCCCUUUGUGGUGCAACAUUUAGCCCAUUGAAGGCUAAUUAUGUGAGUCUCACAAUUGUGUGAGUCUGUCAUGAAGUAUAGCCUAGACUUGACAAUGAUUGAUUUCUCCAAAGAACCCCUUCAGCAGGGAGAUCCCAAAUCAGAGAGCCCUUGCCCUUACCCAGGACAGCCAAUGUCUCUGCAGCUCCACACGGAGCACCAGCUACCGUGGAGGGGUUGACCUGGGCCUGGAGUCCAGGACAGGCUGAGGAAUGCCCUUCCCCCAGCCCUCUCCCUGAGUGUCAGUCCCUGAGUUAGACACUGUCACAGGAGAGGGCUUGGAAGCCACCUUCUGACUCACCACACCCAUCCCAGCCAUGCCCCCUCACCCUGGCAAGCACCCAGGGGCUGUAUGUUGAUUUGUCUCUCCCCUAAUACAAGGCCCUGACCUCCACCAGCAGAGCCAGACUGUCUGCCUGCAAGCCUGGCUUUUUAUUCUGCUGCACUACAGAAAUUAUGCAAAUCACAGCUAUUAGUAUAACAGCUUUUGCAGAAUUCAGAAGAAAAAGGCAAAAAAAAAAAAAAAAACCACACAAUCACAAAAUCCCUAUGUUUGGUUAAAAGACCAUGAAUUUCCCCAUUGUCCUCACUCACUCUCUUGUCAAUAUGAGAUGUAUACAUCUGAAGCCUGCUUUUCAGUCUUAUGAACAUCUAUAAAAGAGACAUCAGUCAGCAGAAACCUCUGGUACUGCGACAUGAAAGAGAAUGAGGGAAAAACCCAACUCUAGCCAGGAUGGAGAAGAGAGGAAAGGCAAGAUGUGGGAGGCAGCCCCAGAAGGCCCAGGCGGGGUCUCUAGAGGAACCUAAGAAGACUCUGGUGUGGGACAAAGCUCCAAUGUGCUCUGAGCACUCUCGCUGUCCUUCCAGAGGGCCUCGUUCCCCUUCUCAUUCAUCUCACUCACCACAC
rnacentral:lncRNA from 10 species